rnacentral:rRNA from 1 species
UACGUAGGGGGCAAGCGUUGUCCGGAAUCAUUGGGCGUAAAGAGCGUGUAGGCGGCCAGAUAAGUCCGCUGUGAAAUCUCGAGGCUCAACUUCGAGCUGUCGGUGGAAACUGUCUGGCUAGAGUCCGGAAGAGGAGAAUGGAAUUCCUGGUGUAGCGGUGAAAUGCGCAGAUAUCAGGAGGAACACCGGUGGCGAAGGCGGGUCUCUGGGCCGAUACUGACGCUGGAGGAGCGAAAGCGUGGGGAGCGAACAGG